rnacentral:RNase_P_RNA from 1 species
CGGAGCCGGGGAGAGGAUCGCCGCGGGGCAUUCCCCCGCGGAGGAAAGUCCGGACUCCGCAGGGCAGCGCGCUGGGUAACGCCCAGGCGGGGCGACCCGACGGAAAGUGCAACAGAGAGCAGACCGCCAGCGGCCGCGGCCCGGUUCGCCGGGCGGCGGUGCGGGCAAGGGUGAAACGGUGGGGCAAGAGCCCACCAGCAUCCCGGGCGACCGGGGUGGCUCGGUAAACCCCGCGCGGAGCAAGGCCAAAUAGGGGAGCGAUGGCGUGGCCCGCGCCGCUCCCGGGUAGGCUGCACGAGGCGGCGGGCAACCGCCGUCCCAGAGGAAUGAUCCUCCCCCCUCGGGGGAACAGAAUCCGGCUUACGACCGGCUCCGCUCG